AACUGUUUAAUAUCUUCCUAUAUCUGUUUAAUAUAAAUAGAUUGCAAAUCCCUCAAAAAACAUUUCAAUGUUGCUAUUUUGUUUCAGUGACAUUUAUGUAGAUUGGAAGCUUCAACUGAGUUUAAAGUCAGGAGUAUGACAGUUUUUUCGUUUGUUUGAUGUGUUUGAGCUUUUGAUUUUGUCAUUUAAUAGGAGACUUUUCGUUUUGAUUUUUCCUCGGAGUUCAGUAUUUUUGUUGUUUUACUUUUUUUGAAUAAGUCCAUUAUCACUGAGCAGGAUCUAGUCUGGAACUGUGGCCCAAUCUAAUGUGAUGUAGGACAGAAAGCUAUAAUUCUGUUUUAAGAUAACAUUUUUUUCCUUAGAAAACAUUUCUCCAAGAAUCUUUAAUUUACAUCUUUAAUAACAAAUAAUAUAAAGUCUUAUUAGAGAUGUAAAACAUCUAGCUUUAAAAAUAUACCAAGAUAUAAAAUGUAUCACAGUGAAAAAAGUAUGUACAAAUGUUAAGCAAGAAGAUUACAAAAGGUCUUGUGUUAAACCACGAAACAUCUUUUCUGUUCAUUUCUUUUCUUAGAACAACUUUUCACAAUCUUUUCUCUAAGUAGUGGACAUCACUAAUUGAACAUAACUUUUAUAUAAAUGGUGAAUAGUUUUGUUUACAAUUGAGUAUAGCAGUACUUAUAUAAGCACUUUUUUUUUUUUUUAAUUCUCCCAUUAUUUUUGUUAAAAAAUAUAUGGAUCCUAUAUUAUCCCUAUUCUACAAAUUUUUAAUUGAUCUUGCUUACUGAUAAUUUCUGUUCUCGGCGGAGUUAAGUGAUACGAAAACGGAGUCAAUUGAUAUAUAAAUUAUCGCUAGAAUCUAAGGGAACAUGUUCUGUUGACAAGAAAAUUAACAAUGUCUUCAUAGGUAAAAUAGCAAUAAACAGAUUAUCAUUGGUCAUCUCAACUUGAUUGCUUCUUUACUUUCGUUGUACCAGCUCAAGCAAGAAAAUCAAUCUCGUUGAGAUAACCAACGAUAAUGAAUAAAUAUCAAACAGUUUCUAAAUAAAAUAAAUGAAAUGCUCCACUGGGCGCAGCUUAAUGUGACUACAAGGGUCUGGACAGUUGGGGCAAGUAUGGACAACUUAUCCAAGCUUGAUGCAUCUCUGAACUUGGAUUGUGAUUAAAUGUAUGACACAGCAUUGGUUUCUGACAUAGACUGAACUCCCUCAAAGAACUAAAAAAAAUUAAAUUGGACUUUUACGUUUUAUGGUCCAAUAUACAAUAUAUAAAUACACAAUUAUAUUCAGAAUAUCUAAGAUCCCUAUACAUUCAAUUUUUGCUGAAAUCAAAACCAAUUAGUUUUAUCUAGGCCAUUUGGACCUUAAAGUCAUAUUAUUAAAUAAAUUGCUUUGCUGAGCUCAGCUGGAUAGGACUGCAGAGGUCCAACCCCAAACAGUGGGGCAAAAAUGGACCCAAUAUUAACACUUGAUACAGGUCUGAACUUGCAUUGUAAUUAAAUAUUUGACACAUUUGAUAUGCAAAACACAAUGCUGUUGCUAAUUUACCCCCCCCCCCAUACUGGCCCCAUUUAAAAAAAAAAUUAAAAAAAUAAAUAUUGAAUGUGAUAGGAUUACCUCCCUUACACUGCUUUUAAAUUGUCUUAAUUGUUCAUUAACCAGGAAACCCUUGUUUUCCCCCUUUUUUUGCCCUUAAUUCCUAAAUGGUUUUAGCCAUAUACCCACAAAGUCAGUCCUAACCAUCCCUUUGUUGUAUGGAAACUUGUGGUAUAAUUUCAGAGAGAUUCAUACACUUAAACACUGGAAACUACUAAAAUGCUUAUUUGGGUAACCUUUUUGGCCCCUCAUUCCUACACUGUUGAGACCAUAACCCCCAAAAUCAAUCCCAACCUUCCUUUUGAGGUUAUAAACCUUGUGUAUAAAUUUUAUGGAUUUCUAUGUACUUAUACUAAAGUUAUUUUCUGGAAAUCAACUGUCCUUGGAUGAAGCAGAUGACCACAAGGUGAUACCAAAAUAAAAUUAAUCCAAUUUAUUUACUUUUGUCCAUUAAUCAGGAAACCAAUGCGUGCAUAUAUCAUAAACUAAGUCUUCUGUGCUUGAUUUUAUCCUUUUUUACACAUCCAUUUCGUGUUGUCAAAAAAAAUAUUUCAUUUCGUCAGUGUUGUUGUGAAAAUAUGGCUGUUAAUUAAUGGUCGUGUUUAGAAACUGAAGUUUAUCAAUUGUCACCUUUGUAAAAUGAUCAUGUUGUGAAGCCGAAGUUUACAGAUUGUCACCUUUGUAAACAAUCAGCAUGGAUAUUCAGGUAAGAACCUGUAUUACAUGUACAAUACGAUAUAGAUUAUUUCGAUGACAGAGUAAUGUUUAAGUUGACUCUCUCUGCCAAUUUGGUUUUCCCCUUCACACUUGCGUAAUUGCAAUCACAGAAUUUUUAUGAGAAAGGUAACUGCAAACAGAAAACAUUUUGGUUAAUUGUUGGCUGGAAGCAAACAAUUCCGAAACAUUUAAUUUCUUCUGAAUUUGGACAAAUUAUAGAAUUUUUUUCAGAAAAUAGUAUAUGUACAUAAGUUUUAUACAUUGUAAUAAAACCCAGCCAUUUAGUUAUAAAAAAACAUGCAUGAUUUUUUUUAAUUUGAAGGUUCAUAUGACUUUUAAUGUGGUCUAAUUUGAAAACAGAACCCACAAUUUUAAAUCUAAAUGCAAAUUUUAUUCACCAUAAAAAUGUGAAAAAUGCUUGUUUGUGGGCCCCAGUUCUUAAACAGUUAGGACAAUUACCCCCAAAAUUAAUCCCAACUUUCCAUUUGUUGUACAAUUUCAUAGAUUUCAAUAUACUUAUACUCAAAUUUUUGUCUGGAAACCAAAUGUCUUCUGACUACGACAAGAUAAUGACAUUAUACGACUGUAAAAAUAUUUGUGGUUGUUUAAAAAUAUAUGAAAAAAUAAAAUGAUAUUUAGAUUAACUUCAUACCCAUUAAUUAAGAAAAAAUUUGUAAGGGUUCCGCGGAACCCAGUGUCUCGCCUACUUUUGCUGUUAAUCGCAGACUCAACAAAAUGAGGAAAAACAUCAAUAAAAAUUUCCCUCUCGAUACUGUCUUUUGAUUGAAAGAAGCUUCCAAGUUUGGUAAAAAAUCCAGGAUAGUUUAUGAAUCUAAUAAAUGUUGUAUAAACUUUAACUGCAGACUGUAUGUAAUGUUAACUGGAAG
rnacentral:lncRNA from 1 species